rnacentral:rRNA from 1 species
GAAUCCCGUCUUUGGCACGGAUGCCUGGUGCUUCUGUGAUGCGCUCUCGAAGAGUCGAGUUGUUUGGGAAUGCAGCUCAAAAUGGGUGGUGAACUCCAUCUAAAGCUAAAUAUUGGCGGGAGGCCGAUAGCGAACAAGUACCGUGAGGGAAAGAUGAAAAGCACUUUGGAAAGAGAGUGAAACAGUACGUGAAAUUGUUGAAAGGGAAACGCUUGAAGUCAGUCGCGUCGACCGAGACUCAGCCUCGCCUUGGCUUGGUGUACUUCUCGGCACGACGGGUCAGCAUCAAUUUUGCCCUUCGGAUAAUGGCAGGGGAAAGGUGGCACCUUUACGGGUGUGUUAUAGUCUUCUGUCGCAUGCGAGGGGUGGGAUUGAGGAACUCAGCGCGCACCUCAGUGUCGGGGCUUCGGCCCACGUCACGCGCUUAGGAUGCUGGCGUAAUGGCUUUAAACGACCCGUCUUGAAACACGGACCAAGGAGUCCAACACGCCCGCGAGUGUUCGGGUGGAAAACCCGUGCGCGUAAUGAAAGUGAAAGUUGGGACCUCUGUCGUGGAGGGCACCGACGCCCGGACCAGACCUUCUGUGACGGAUCUGCGGUAGAGCGUGUGUGUUGGGACCCGAAAGAUGGUGAACUAUGCCUGAAUAGGGUGAAGCCAGAGGAAACUCUGGUGGAGGCUCGUAGCGAUUCUGACGUGCAAAUCGAUCGUCAAAUUUGGGUAUAGGGGCGAAAGACUAAUCGAACCAUCUAGUAGCUGGUUCCUGCC